CCUACGGGAGGCAGCAGUGGGGAAUCUUUCACAAUGGGGGGAACCCUGAUGCAGCGACGCCGCGUGCGUGAAGAAGUCUUUCGGUAUGUAAAGCUCUAUUAUAAGCGAAGAAGAUGACGGUACCUGAUUAAGAAGCCCCGGCUAACUACGUGCCAGCAGCCGCGGUCAUACGUAGGGUGCGAGCUGUAUCCGGCUUUACUGGGUGUAAAGGGAGCGUAGACGGCAGGGCAAGACUGGAGUGAAAGCCCGGGGCCCAACACCGAGACUGCUUUGGAAACUGUCAUGCUAGAGUGCUGGAGAGGUAAGCGGAAUUCCUAGUGUAGCGGUGAAAUGCGUAGAUAUUAGGAGGAACACCAGUGGCGAAGGCGGGUUACUGGACAGUAACUGACGUUGAGGCUCGAAAGCGUAGGGAGCAAACAGGAUUAGAUACCCCUGUAGUC
rnacentral:rRNA from 1 species